UAGACACCCUUAUGGGGCAGGACUUGCUUCAGUGGGGCUUUGGUGCUCACUGAGUCUGCCCCUUUUUAAAAGUGUGUCUUU
rnacentral:pre_miRNA from 1 species